GAGGAAGAGAGAACAAACACAUUUUUUGGUAUGGUUAAGUCCUAUACUUUGGUAGACAUUAUGGUGCCCAGGCAGAUGCCUUUCUAAUUACACAAAAGCAUUACACAAGAUGUGGUUUGAAUAUACUUGGCCCGUGAGAAGUGGCACUAUUAGGAGGUGUGGCCUUGUUGAAGGAAGUCUCACUGUGUAGGCGGGCUUUGAGGGCUACCAGUGCUCAAGCUCCACGCAGUACAGAAGAGAGUCACCUGGCUACCUCAGUUCAGGAUGUAGAACUCUCAUCUCCUUCUCUGGAACCAUGUCUGUCUGCGGGCUACCAUGCUCCUGCCAUGAUGAUAAUGGACUGAACCUCUGAAACUGCCAAAAUACCCAAGCCACGUGGACAAUCUCCCCCUGUAACUAUGCUAACCCAACUCAGUGACCUCAGCAAGGUGGAGACAGCCGCCCUGUGACUUGGCUGCCAUCCUGAGCGACGUCAUCAAGAUGGCAUAAACUAUACCAUCUGACCUUGGCUAGUAACAUCAUCCAGAUGAGGAAGACCAAAUGACUUCACCAUCCAUAAAGCUUUCUGCCACGGCUGAGCCCUCAGACUCCAUCCCUAGAAUUUCCUGUGCCAUGUCCCUGCCCUCUUCUCCAUUUUUUUUUCCUCUUUGGUUUUUACCUUCUUGGAUGCCUAACGGAAUCCUGGAAAUGGGAGAAGAGAAGAUUCCAUCAUGGACACUCACUGCCAAGCUCCAUGCUAUGCUUUCUCUGACAGAGAUAGAGUCUUUUCCUUCGUGGGACUCCUUUGCUCCACGUUUAUUAUCCACUUCUCCACAUCCAGCCCUGGGCCCCUCGCUUCUGUUUCAACUUUCCACUUACAGUGACAGGUGACAGAGGAAGAACAAGUGGAUGCCACCCCUUUCCAAGAACUUCGGCAUCACAGUUUUAUCGGAGCCUCCUUAGCCAAGUCAGUGGGAGACUGCAAACAGCAACUUGAUGUUUAAUUGUGUGUUUCUGCUUUUCUCAGUCUGCUACUUGCCAAAAGCACUUCGUUCCCCGGAUUGUGCAAAGCACAAAUAAAGAGUUUUGACUGCCCUA